rnacentral:rRNA from 1 species
UACGAAGGGGGCUAGCGUUGCUCGGAAUUACUGGGCGUAAAGCGCACGUAGGCGGGUCAUUAAGUCGGGGGUGAAAUCCUGGAGCUCAACUCCAGAACUGCCUCCGAAACUGAUGAUCUUGAGUUCGGGAGAGGUGAGUGGAACUGCGAGUGUAGAGGUGAAAUUCGUAGAUAUUCGCAAGAACACCAGUGGCGAAGGCGGCUCACUGGCCCGAUACUGACGCUGAGGCACGAAAGCGUGGGGAGCAAACAGG